AUUGAACGCUGGCGGCAGGCCUAACACAUGCAAGUCGAGCGGAUGAAGGGAGCUUGCUCCUGGAUUCAGCGGCGGACGGGUGAGUAAUGCCUAGGAAUCUGCCUGGUAGUGGGGGAUAACGUCCGGAAACGGGCGCUAAUACCGCAUACGUCCUGAGGGAGAAAGUGGGGGAUCUUCGGACCUCACGCUAUCAGAUGAGCCUAGGUCGGAUUAGCUAGUUGGUGGGGUAAAGGCCUACCAAGGCGACGAUCCGUAACUGGUCUGAGAGGAUGAUCAGUCACACUGGAACUGAGACACGGUCCAGACUCCUACGGGAGGCAGCAGUGGGGAAUAUUGGACAAUGGGCGAAAGCCUGAUCCAGCCAUGCCGCGUGGGUGAAGAAGGUCUUCGGAUUGUAAAGCACUUUAAGUGGGGAGAAAGGGCAGUAAGUUAAUACCUUGCUGUUUUGACGUUACCAACAGAAUAAGCACCGGCUAACUUCGUG
rnacentral:rRNA from 1 species